rnacentral:rRNA from 1 species
GACGAACGCUGGCGGCGUGCCUAAUACAUUCAAGUAGAACGCACAGUUUAUACCGUAGCUUGCUACACCAUACACUGUGAGUUGCGAACGGGUGAGUAACGCGUAGGUAACCUGCCUGGUAGCGGGGGAUAACUAUUGGAAACGAUAGCUAAUACCGCAUAAUAUUAAUUAUUGCAUGAUAAUUGAUUGAAAGAUGCAAUUGCAUCACUACCAGAUGGACCUGCGUUGUAUUAGCUAGUAGGUGAGGUAACGGCUCACCUAGGCGACGAUACAUAGCCGACCUGAGAGGGUGAUCGGCCACACUGGGACUGAGACACGGCCCAGACUCCUACGGGAGGCAGCAGUAGGGAAUCUUCGGCAAUGGACGAAAGUCUGACCGAGCAACGCCGCGUGAGUGAAGAAGGUUUUCGGAUCGUAAAGCUCUGUUGUAAGAGAAGAACGGGUGUGAGAGUGGAAAGUUCACACUGUGACGGUAUCUUACCAGAAAGGGACGGCUAACUACGU